rnacentral:tRNA from 1 species
GCCUUCGUGGUGUAAUGGUAGCACACUUGGCUCGUAUUUGAGAGAUCCGAGUUCGAAGCCCGGCGAGAGAA